rnacentral:rRNA from 1 species
AUACGUAGGGAGCGAGCGUUGUCCGGAAUUACUGGGCGUAAAGGGCGCGUAGGCGGCGCUUCAAGUCGUCUGUCAAAUGGGAGGGCUUAACCCUUUUUCGCAGACGAAACUGGAGAGCUUGAGAAGCAGAGAAGCAAACAGAAUUCCUGGUGUAGCGGUGAAAUGCGUAGAUAUCAGGAAGAAUACCAGUGGCGAAGGCGGUUUGCUGGCUGCAUACUGACGCUGAAGCGCGAAAGCCAGGGGAGCAAACGGGAUUAGAUACCCCGGUAGUCCUGGCAGUAAACGAUGUAUGCUGGGUGUGAGACUAGCGAUAGUUUCGUGCCGAAGUUAACGCGAUAAGCAUACCGCCUGGGGAGUACGGUCGCAAGAUUGAAACUUAAAGGAAUUGACGGGG